UACGUAGGGUGCGAGCGUUGCCCGGAUUUAUUGGGCGUAAAGGGCGCGCAGGCGGCUCGGCACGUCCGUUGUGAAAUCGCCCGGCUCAACUGGGCGCGGUCGGUGGAAACUGGUCACCUGGAGGACGGUAGAGGCGAGUGGAAUUCCCGGUGUAGUGGUGAAAUGCGUAGAGAUCGGGAGGAACACCAGUGGCGAAGGCGGCUCGCUGGGCCGGCCCUGACGCUGAGGCGCGAAGGCGUGGGGAGCGAACGGG
rnacentral:rRNA from 1 species